CAGAUCUACGGGUGACACAGAGGGACAAACUUCACCACUGCCACUCACUGUGAACACUGUGGCUCAACGGUCGACGACAGCCAGCCUGAUGGGGAAGUUAAACUGGACUAACUUAUCACCCUGUUCCUGCUCAUUAGAGGAAAAGCAAUUUCUUGUCUGGUUCUUGUUACGUUUGCCCAUUCUUAGGUUCAUGUUUUCCAUUCCUGGCUAACAUUUAGCUAUUAGUAGUGCCGUGCGGUUCUUCUCGACGCCUUCCACGUAGCUGCUGCAGCGCUCAAAGAAUCGAAGCAGCUCAUCGUCCACCUGGUGGCUGAACUGCACAUCUGUUGUUAGAGAGAGCAGAGACAGGUUUCACCAGGUCGCUGAAACACCUACGUCUACUCACCGCCAUCUUCUGGCCGCUGCAGACCUUCCUGAAACGCCUGGACACUGCUCACACAGCGGUGUUUGGAGCUGGUCAGGAAGCUCACUCUCCGCUCUCUCACAUUCUCCUGCGAC